rnacentral:rRNA from 1 species
AGUGUGCAGGGGUCAAUUAUGUUGCCUGUGAGCUUUGCAUCCGUUUAAUAAAAAUGACUCUCGGCAAUGGAUAUCUUGGCUCUUGCAUCGAUGAAGAACGUAGCGAAAUGCGAUACUUGGUGUGAAUUGCAGAAUCCCGUGAACCAUCGAAACUUUGAACGCGAGUUGCGCCUCAAGCCAUUGGGUUGAGGGCACGUCUGCUUGGGUGUCAUGCAUUAUGUCUCCCCUCUCGUGUGUGGAGUGGGAAUAGAUCCUGGCCUCCUGGGCCCUUCCUUGGGUGUGGUUGGCCGGAAAUGUUGUCCUUGAUUUUGUUGAUGUCUUGGUGUGCGGUGGAUGUGCCAGGUGUGCAUAGUUGCCAGCCUUGCUCGACUUCAUUGUGGCGUUGGGAUCCUAUGAAGAUGCUGGUUUUGGCUCUUUGAUUGCGACCCCAAGUCAGGCGAGACUACCCGCUGAGUUUAAGCAUAUCAAUAAGCGGAGGAAA